CAGAGUAUAGUUUAUUAAAAUAAUAAUUUUGGAGAUUAUAGAUAAAAGUAGUUUUUACUCUGA
rnacentral:tRNA from 1 species